rnacentral:lncRNA from 1 species
UGAGAUUUUUUUUAAACCUGAUGUCACAUCCAGGACAAACAAGAGAAGUCCUUUUAACCAAAUAGGACUCCUAUAUAACAAGAGUCUUUGAGAAGAGAGUCGUAUGACCUAAGAUGUCCCCUCCAACUACUUUGCAUUAGGCCUAUCAAGUGUCAUGCACAGCUCAAGAGGAAAUGCUAUCUGGAAAUCCCCCAACUCCCAUGGAAAUUCCCAGCUGGCUCCCUGUACACUGCAGAUACCUGAAGUGGUUUUGAAGACUGGGCAGCUAAGACCUAAGUGAAGAAGAAUUCCUCCCCUGCAAGGAUGACCAAGAACCCAGCCGCUCUGUUUCCUUCCCGACUGGAGUCCUCUUCUCCACUGGGACCAGCUGUAUCCACCUGACCUCCAAGAGCACUCUCCAUGCCACGCACAGGGCACUGAGUGAACACCCACCUCAUUUCUCCCAGCAUGGAAAGUCAUUCCAGGAAUUCUGUGGGCAGUGGAGAGGCCCUUCCCCUUCCAGCAUGGGAAAGCCAGGCUGGUUGGGAAGCAGCUCAACUCAAGCUGCUGCUGAUACAGGUGCCCUCUCCUAGCCCCUCCCUUGUCCCCACCUGCAUUUCACCUCAAUUUCUAUCUGCAUAUGUGUCAAGUUCUCCCAAAUCCAGCAGCCACCAUGCCUGGCCUCACCAAGGGCUUGCCUCAUCUGAGCUAUUUCAGUAUAAAUAUUG